UUUAAAGAUUACUAAGCACACCAAUAGGCAGAGAGAAGGAGGAAAGGGACUCUGGGUGAGGGCAACAGCCUAGAAAAAGGCUCACUGGCAGCAAAACCAUGUGUGGAUGGUUGUGUUCUCCUCCCGAGGCUGCUGGAACACAUUACCACACACUUGGUCCUGGUGGCUGCUAGCAUUCCUCGGCUUGUGGCCAUGUCACUCCAUCUCUGGAUGUGUCUGUCUUCACAUGGCCUUCUCCUCUGCCUCUGUCUUAUAGGGAUACCUGUGAUUGCAUUUAGGGGGAUAUCCGGGAUAAUCCAGGAUAAUCUCCCCAUCUCAACAUCCUUAACUCAAUCACAUGUUUUGCCAUGGAAGGUCUCUAAGAAAUUCAGAUUCAACCAGCCCAGCACGGAGUCUGAGAAUCUGAAUUUCCUGAAUCCCCCGCCCCCAUACAUCCAUACCGUGCAACUAUAAAAGGAAUGUGACAGUCUCUAGGCACCGAGGUGGGUGAUGACAGGAAACUGACAUGUGCAUCUUUGUGUGAUCACUGCUCCAAGAUGAAGUUCAUGCUGAAACAUGGAAGGACUCACCCGAGGCCUGUGUAAGUUCCUGGACAGGACAGUGAAGACAGCUAACCCAGGAAAGCCCCUCCUGAACCUCACAUCACAGCAGCUGGUUCUGGAGCCAGGGGAGGCCCAGCUACCAAACCACGAGAGGGAAUCCUGGACUCAGGGAUGGCCCAGCAUGGCCCUUUCCAUGUUCUAGAGGGCUCUUUCCUUUCCAGUGUCACGGGUACUUCUCCCAAGUGAUCUUUGAGUGUUCGCUUCCUCUUGGAGACACACAAAGGCAUGUCACCAGGUCAUCCUUCCUGCCCAGUGUCUUGUGUGAGCCAUCUUCUCACAUCCACCCCAUCUGCCACCCCAUCGUGUCCCCAUCCCAGCUCCCAUCCACAAAGUCACAGAGCUGAUCAGCUGGGACUUGGACCCGGAAAAUUACAUGUUUAAAA
rnacentral:lncRNA from 1 species